ACAUAACUCCCCAUGUCUGUUGAUAAAAAAGAGACCCUAAGGAGGAUUAAACUGUUCUCAUCCUUUUGUUAGGGAACUGGGAAUUGAAGCUGGAGUGACUGCAGCUACUUAUACACCUGGUGCAUUGCAUCCUCACUUGGCCCAUUAUCACGCACCUCCUCGACUUCAUCACUUACAAUUAGGAGCUCUUCCUUUAAUGGUUCCUGAUAUGGCAGGCUAUCCUCACAUCCGUUACAUUUCAUCAGGAUUGGAUGGAACAUCAUUCAGAGGUCCUUUCAGGGGCAAUUUUGAGGAACUGAUUCAUUUGGAAGAAAGAUUAGGAAAUGUCAAUCGUGGAGCAUCCCAGGGGACAAUUGAAAGAUGUACAUAUCCACAUAAAUACAAAAAGAGGAAACUGCACUGCAAACAAGAUGGGGAAGAAGGGACUGAGGAAGACACAGAGGAAAAAUGUACUAUCUGUUUGUCUAUUUUAGAGGAAGGUGAAGAUGUGAGACGUCUUCCAUGUAUGCACCUUUUCCACCAAGUGUGUGUUGACCAAUGGUUGAUUACCAAUAAGAAGUGCCCCAUAUGCAGAGUGGACAUUGAGGCCCAGCUGCCAAGUGAAAGUUGACACCAUGUUUCAGAACUCUUGCCCUCCCUCUCAUUCCCAUCCUUCCUGGUACUGCAGUCAACCAAAGAUGGCAUGACUUACCUGCGCAGAUUUGGAAGCAUUGAACUUAGAGUGCUGGCUCUGCUAUAUGGUACAACUAAUGCUAGACCUACAGUUUAUGUAUACAGUUGAUUUUGAUGUAUUUAUAAAAGCUUUUUUUUCUAGAUUUGACAUUUUUCUGUAUCAUUUUACUGUAUUUUUGCAUGGUUCCUUGUAUUGCAUUUCUUUGCACAUAUUAUGGGCUUGUGACCCUAAACUUGCAGGCAAGGUUAGCUGCUUUAGUAAGUAGAAUUUUGUGGUCUUUUUGUUUUUUACAUAGUACCAAGCCUUGAUAAUUAUGAAUUUUUUAUCCAUUACUAACCUUUAAUUUAAUCAAUCAUGUACUUUAGUUUAAUGUAUAAAGAUCCUCUAGAAAAUGAUAAUAUUGUGUAUUAAGACAUUCCUUAAUUAGGACAAAAUGGCUGCUGUAUAUUUACUAUAUGGAGUUCUGAGUUAAAUACCAUCCUUAAUACUGGGAACAGAAUACAACCCAUAUAAAUCAGAUGCAGGUGGUAGUCACAUCACCAGAGUGAUCAGUAUAAAUUUUCUUGGUGUAUCCUUUUCCUUUCAACACAGUGCAGAUAAGAGUUGAAUAUUGAUAUCAUACAUUUAGACUGCUGUUCUGAUUGCAUUCAUCUUUUGCCUACAUCAUUUAGAAUUUUAUUUCCCUGAUUCAGUUUUUGCUGCUGUGAAACAGCUCUGAUGAACACUAAAUAUUAAUUUCAAUUAGCUAGAUUGUACAUACUUGCAGAUUUAACAAAAUUUUAGGGAAAUUGAAAAAGACAUGUAGAAUUUGUUGUCUUCUGCUAAGCACGAAAAGUUAAGAUAUCUGCUUACAUUGAUUUUGUAGACACAUUAAGUCAAGAUUUGGAAUUUAAGUCACUGGCAGGUAUCUGUGCAUUCAUAGAACUUAUAAAGGUCCCAGGAUCACUUUUAAGGGAUUUUUAUUAGUUUAAAGAUAAAUAAAGUCAGCUGAAUCUACAUGUCUCUUGUUUUAUUUCUCUCUAAACUUGAAAACAGUAAAUCUUCAGAUACUGUGAGGCACAAAUUAUACUGUCAACCUACUGUUGCUAUGGUUAUAUACUCCCACUUCAUACAUUACCAAGAGUCGAUCACUGAUUUAAAAUUUUUAAUUUCUAUAGUUAAGAUUUACUGCAUAAUAUAGAAUAUAAAGUUAAGUUAACAUACUAACAUUUCUCCUUUGGAGGAAGUUUUAAUCUACUUCAGGAUGCAUAUUAUUAUCAAGAUACUUUCAUAUACAGGAUAGCCUAAUUUUAUUUGUUUAAAUAUGCUUAAUAUGCCCCAGAUUGCAAAUGCAUCCAGUCAGUAAUAUCACUGUCUGUAUGUGGAGGACAUGUUCCCAUGGAUCAUAUGUGAAGAUGUCAAUAAGCUUGCAUUAAGCCACCUGCUUUGUAAGUGGAUUGAUUAAUAAAUAACUUAUAUUUCUA
rnacentral:sRNA from 1 species